rnacentral:siRNA from 1 species
CUAGUGUAGUUUCCAUCUUCUC